GACGAACGCUGGCGGCGUGCCUAAUACAUGCAAGUAGAACGCUGAAGAGAGGAGCUUGCUCUUCUUGGAUGAGUUGCGAACGGGUGAGUAACGCGUAGGUAACCUGCCUUGUAGCGGGGGAUAACUAUUGGAGACGAUAGCUAAUACCGCAUAACAAUGGAUGACACAUGUCAUUUAUUUGAAAGGGGCAAUUGCUCCACUACAAGAUGGACCUGCGUUGUAUUAGCUAGUAGGUGAGGUAAUGGCUCACCUAGGCGACGAUACAUAGCCGACCUGAGAGGGUGAUCGGCCACACUGGGACUGAGACACGGCCCAGACUCCUACGGGAGGCAGCAGUAGGGAAUCUUCGGCAAUGGGGGCAACCCUGACCGAGCAACGCCGCGUGAGUGAAGAAGGGUUUCGGAUCGUAAAGCUCUGUUGUAAGUCAAGAACGGGUGUGAGAGUGGAAAGUUCACACUGUGACGGUAGCUUACCAGAAAGGGACGGCUAACUACGUG
rnacentral:rRNA from 1 species